AACAUUUCUUAUAGAUCUUUUAAUAAGUAUGACCUGCCCACUGUUUAAUAAUAAAGGGCCGCGGUAUAUUGACCGUGCAAAGGUAGCAUAAUCAUUAGUCUUUUAAUUGAGGAAUGGUAUGAAUGGUUAAAUGAAUUUUUUCUUUUUUUUUUGAUUUAAAAUUUUAAAAAUUUGAUUUUAAGUGAAAAUACUUAAUUUUCUUAAAAAGACGAUAAGACCCUAUAGAGUUUAAUUACUAUUUUUUUUAUUAAAAAAUAUAGUUAUUUAAUUGGGGCAAUUAUAGAAUAAUAAAAAUUUCUUUUUAUAUAUAUAUAUUGAAAUAUCUAUUUUUAAUAGUUUAAUAAAACUACCUUAGGGAUAACAGCGUAAUUUUUAUUAAGAGUUCUUAUCGACAUAAAAGAUUGCGACCUCGAUGUUGAAUUAAAUAUUCUUUAUAGGAGCAGAAUUUUAUAAAAAGUAGUCUGUUCGACUAUUAAAUUUUUACAUGAUCUGAGU
rnacentral:rRNA from 1 species